UAACGCGUGGGUAACCUGCCUUGUACUGGGGGAUAGCAGCUGGAAACGGCUGGUAAUACCGCAUAAGCGCACAAUGUUGCAUGACAUGGUGUGAAAAACUCCGGUGGUAUAAGAUGGACCCGCGUCUGAUUAGCUAGUUGGUGAGAUAACAGCCCACCAAGGCGACGAUCAGUAGCCGACCUGAGAGGGUGACCGGCCACAUUGGGACUGAGACACGGCCCAG
rnacentral:rRNA from 1 species